CCAGUGUUUAAAUCUCAGGAAGUAGCUCCCAACAUCAGCAAGAGAGGAUGAAGUAAAUUAAACAAAAAGGAUCUACUUGAAAGUGAAGAGGGAGUAAGAUCACUAGAAAGCAGCAUGCUGCCAAACCACCAAAAGGAAAGGGGGAUAUCUAGUUGAAGUACAUCGCUAAUACCCAGACAGAUCUGAAGAACUUGGGAACCUCACCAGGAAAAUCAUCUUAUUCUUGGAGUUUAUUCACAAGGUUAGAUAGAAAUAGAUCCACACAUGUUAUUCUCUAUCAUGCAGAAUUGUCGCUAAACGUGUAACUUGGGAAGCUCAUUCAAUAAUACAGACGUGGGUGAUUUCUGUCCCAGGGGACUGAACUGUAUGCAAGUUUUUGUUCAAUUUAGACCACAAUUAGUUGAGGUGUUAGUGAAGUUCUGGAACAAAAAUGCUGCCACCACUAUGCUUCACCAUAGCGAUGGUGCCAGGUUUCCUCCAGAUGUGAC